AGCGAACGCUGGCGGCAGGCCUAACACAUGCAAGUCGAACGAACCUUUCGGGGUUAGUGGCGGACGGGUGAGUAACACGUGGGAACGUGCCUUUAGGUUCGGAAUAACUCAGGGAAACUUGUGCUAAUACCGAAUGUGCCCUUCGGGGGAAAGAUUAAUCGCCUUUAGAGCGGCCCGCGUCGGAUUAGCUAGUUGGUUGAGGUAAUGGCUCACCAAGGCGACGAUCAGUAGCUGGUCUGAGAGGAUGAUCAGCCACAUUGGGACUGAGACACGGCCCAAACUCCUACGGGAGGCAGCAGUGGGGAAUCUUGCGCAAUGGGCGAAAGCCUGACGCAGCCAUGCCGCGUGAAUGAUGAAGGUCUUAGGAUUGUAAAAUUCUUUCACCGGGGACGAUAAUGACGGUACCCGGAGAAGAAGCCCCGGCUAACUUCGUG
rnacentral:rRNA from 1 species